rnacentral:lncRNA from 1 species
ACAGAAUCUUCUUUGAGUGUACGCUCAAAUUCUGUAGGGCUAAUCAUAUGUAACCCUUUCCGCUCCACAAUUUUCUUGGUCUGUUAUGAGUCAACAAGUUUUGGCGGUAAAGGAUUAAAGUGAAUCUUCUUCCCAUUGAACACAAAGGAACAUGAAUUUGAUCGACAAUAAAUAGUGACAUCUAAAUCGAACAACCAGGGUCGACCAAGAAUGACGUGUCCGACGUCCAUGAGAAUGACGUCGCACGAUAUAUGAUCUUUGUAUUCAAGAAACUGGAUAGGAACCAAACAACGCUCGUUUACGACAAUAGAAGAAGUGUCAACCCAAGAGACGCUAUAAGGUUGAGGGUGUGAGACUGGCUGUAAUCCAAGACGAGACACCGUAGCCACAGAAACUGCAUUAAUGCAGCCACCAAUAUCCACAAUAAUUUUACAACCCUUGUUAUUGUUCUUGAUAAAAGUGUGAAAAAUGGCGUAACGACGCCAGUCAUCAGCAUCUUUAGGGUGAGUGAGGGUACAACGUACAACACUUAGCCGCGAGGUAUCGGGGACAGAGGUCACAGAAUCUAGAUCUAUAGGGAAGGUUCGGAUGCAACCUAACGAGGUAUCAUCAAUAUCAUCCAAAUCGUCAAACUCUUCAAACUUAGGUUCAUAGACUUGAUCUUCUAAUGACUCACCUUCUACAUCUUUUUGUUCCUCAAUGACUAAAGCUCAACUAGGACAUCUAGAUGCGAUAUGACCAAAGCCUUUACAAUUGAAGCACUGCAGGCGGGAAGAAGUUUUUGAAAUUUCGGGAGAUUUACCCUUAUUUUCCAACAUAGGGGGAACAUUAGAUGGGGGAGGCCCUAGAAGGGACUUAACAGGCGGAGGUGGGAUGGAUGAGACGGAAGGACGAUUGUCAACACGCCUUCCAUAAGGAGUCUUAGUGACUAACUCAUAAUCUUGGACUAAAGAAUAAGCAUGAUCAAGGGUAGUGACACCUCGAAGUAUAAGCUCACGCCUAAGAUCAUCUUUUAGGCCCUGUCUAAACCUACUCAAAGUCAUUGCCUCAUCCUCAACGACAUGACAUCGCAUUUGAAAUUCAUCAAAUUGAGUAACAUAGUCAGUCACUGGUCGAUUUCCCUGUGUAAGGGUAUUCCAUUGGUCCAACAAGUUGCCCUUGUAAGAUUGGGGCAAAUACUUCUCUUGAAGGCGACGCUUCAUUUCCUCCCAACUUCCAACUGGAGGUGCACGACGCCUUUCAAAGAGAUCCUCAAUACUUUUCCAGAAGAGUUGGGCGAUGCCAGUUAAUUUCAGAUUGGCAAACUGGACAUGUCGAUCCUCUGAGAUUCCAUACCAUGCCAAGAAACGAUCCAUGUCUCUAAUCCACUGAGUAAAAACUCUAGGAUCUAAGCAACCAUCGAAAGUAGGAGCGUCUAACUUGAUGUUUCUAAAGUAACGCUUGUCAUGGCAUGAAGGAGAAUGAUUAUUGCGACGGCCAUGAUCUCGUUCUCGAUCACGGCCCUAAUCUCUACUCCUUUGAUCACGUUGAGGAUGUUGUUGACCGCCUUGUCGACGACGAUAAUAGGGUAUAUUAUGGGACGUUUCAGAGUUAUCAGCGUCAGUCGAACGAGGGAUUUGUUCAAAAUCUAAUCACGUAAAAUAAGUGGGUAAAAGUGAGGGUUUAACAAAGGUUCAAUCAUGUAAUUUCAGGCAAAGUAAUAUAAUAGCAGAACAGAAAAUUAAUUGAUGUGAUUUUAAAUUAACAGUAAUAUAGACCAAAUAUAGAUAAAAACAGUAACUCCCCUUUUUGUUUGCUAAGGUAACUGGAUCGAUCAACAGGACAAGAAGAUAUACCUGCAAAACAAUGUUAGAAAAUACAAUUUUUUUUUCGCUUUUCUUUUCUUUUUUUUUUUAAACAAAAAAACUUACAAAAUCAAACUAAAUUACAUAUAAACAAACUGGGCAAUAACUGACCCAAAUCACAAACUGAGCCCAAUUAAAAUUAAAUACCCAACCACACAAUCCCAAGCCCAGAAUAUUAACUAAGCCAUCGCCCAAUUAAAGCCAACUGCCCACUGUUAUCUUAGCCUAAUCGUUCUCGCCAUCUACUCGAUCUAUAGAGAGCUGGGUCUAAGUGGAAGGGAUUUCGAGCGGCGCUAAGUCUAAUUCGGUGGUGUACAAACAACUUGGUGAAAAUUAAUGGCAUGGGUCUUCGAUUAGGAGCUGCCGGAGAAGAUGAAGAUGAGACAAUUCAAAUUUUAGGUUGCAAUUUGUAUGUGGCUAUGGUUGAGCUGAGAAUUGCCGAAGACCUAGAUAGCCGCCGUUGGUUGCUGACUGGCGAUGGAGGUUUGGAUAGGGUUGUGUAGUGGUGCGAGAUGUGUUUUACUUGUCUUGGUUGGAUUUUUUUUUUUGUAUGGCAACAUGAUUGCAGGCAGUGGGUAAGGGUAAUAGUGGUGGUAGGUGGUGGUCGUCUGUAGAGGAUGGAUAUACUAGAAAUAUUUGGUGGGGUUAUUGCUCGGUUGGAGUUGCUUUGUUAUAUGUAUGUAAUGGAUGAGGGUGAAGUUGCUAGGGCUGGGUGUGUGUGGGUGUAUGGUUUAGUUUUACAGCAAGGAAUGAAGUUUGAAGAUGGUGAUAUAUGCAGGUUCUGGUAGUGAUAGUGGAUAGGAACAUAUGCAGAGAAGGUGAAGGUGUUAACUGGGUUCUGCAGAAACGGAUUUGGAGUUAUCACUUUGAAUGGGAUGAUACUAGGUAUGGCGUGUGAGUUGUGGAUUGCAUGCAAACGAAUGAACACCUAAAAUGUUUCCCCCAAGUUUAGCUCUGAUACCAAGUUGAUGUAGCAUAACAUAGACAUAGAAGCAAUCACAUGGAAGGAGAAGAUAGGGAAGUAGAAACCAGAUAAAAGAAAGAGAAAGAAGUAGGAGAAGAAGAGAAGAGGAGGAGGGGCAGUGGAAAAGGGGAGAAUGCUUGCAACACUCCAAUUUUCAUUUCAUUUCAAUCAAAUCUGCCCCCCAUGCAUAGAAGGCUGCAUACUUUUAUACAAUACAAAGCAUAAAAGGGCUUGGGCCAGCCCAGUAAAUGAUACAAGCCCAAAAACAAAAUAAAAGGCUUGGGCAAGCCCAAAACAUAAUACAAACCCAAAUAAAAUACUAACUAGAUAGUCCAAGCUAGAUGUUCUCAUCACAGUGUCUUACAAUACGCUUAAUUACAGGUUUUGCGGGAUUGGGAGCACCGAAGAUCACAUGGUAAUGAGUGUGUGUAGAGAACUUGUGUUAUAUUAAGAAUCUCAUAAAUGGAUAUUGUAAGAUUGAGGUUGCUGAUUCUGCAAUUUUGUUGUACAAGGACAUGUGUAAAGAAGGUAUUUAGCCAGAUAGUUUGACGGUUUGAUGCAGUUAUUAUAGUUCUUUGUGAUAAGGGAAACUAUUCUACUGCUUUGGAUAUUUUGAUGGUUCUAUCAAGAAAACAUGUUGUCAUUCCAAGGAGAGUUAUCAAAUUCUGAUAUAAUGGUUCUGUCAGGAGUGGAAGAUGCUUUAAGGCUUCAGGCAGAGAUGGUAGGGAAAAGGUACGAACCAGAUUUGGAGUCAUAUGGCACUUUUAUUGAUGGGUAUUUGAAACAUGGUAAUGAAACAAUGGCUGCUAAAUUGAGGAAAGAAAUGCUCAACAAGUAAAUUUCCUGGGAGGAGAAAUUGAAAUAAUAUUCUUCCUCUUUACACCAUUUGCAGCACUUUUGAGCAGUCAUUUUGCCAGAAAGUGCAAGCUUCUUGUUGAAGCAAGUUAAGUUGCUGGUGAUCUUCCAGAAGUUGGUCCGAAUGAUUUUUCUGGAUGCGCAACCGCACAGGUGAUGAUUUCCAGUUAG